ensembl:snRNA U6 U6 spliceosomal RNA
UUGCUUCGGCAGCAUAUAUGCUAAAAUAGGAAUGACACAGAGAAGAUUAGCAUGGCCCCUGCACGUGGAUGACACGCAAAUUCAUGAAGCUUUCCAUAGUUUU